AGACAUUCCAGGACUUCCGGGCACUUCGUAAGGUUUAAAUAAGGAUGCUUCGCGUUCGCUCUCCCUCUUGGAGACAGAUUCGCAGUGGUCGCUUCUUCUCCUUGGAUUUGUUAAGGAUUCCAAGUAACUCUUAUUUGGAGAGAAGACGAUCUGCACUUCGCAUUUUGACAUUGACAUUUAAUUUUAGGGUCCUUUAUAUAGAAGGGAGAGUAGGUAAACUGAUUUUUUUUAACAGGGAGGGUUUGACAAUCUUUGGCAGAGUUGGAGCAAAAGAUUGAGGUGCAUUUCAUGCCUCCUUUUGAGAGUCUUGCUGUGUCGCCCAGGCUGUAGUGCAGUGGCGCGAUCUUGGCUGCAAACUCAGCCUCCCAAGUAGCUGGGAUUACAAACGUAAGCCACCACGCCCAGCCCUCAUACCUCUUUUAAAAGUCGACCUGUUUUGCAGAAAGUCUGCUGUUUUGUACUAAAGGCUUUGGAAUUUGGCAUUUAGCUAGGAAUGCACAUUCUUACACCUCAUUCAUACUUUAAGAACCACAGAAGUGACUCUGCUUGGCCAGAAGGCACUUCCGCCUCCCAGGUUCAGGCGAUUCUCCUGCCUCAGCCUCCCAAGUAGCUGCGACUACAGGCGUGUAGCACCGCACCUGGCUAAUUUUUGUAUUUUUAGUAGAGAUGAGGUUUCACCAUAUUGGCCAGGCUGUUCUCAACUCCUGACCUCGUGAUCCGCCCGCCUCAGCCUCCUAAAGUGCUGGGAUUACAGCCGUGAGCCACCCUGCCCGGCCACUUUUGUAUGAUUUCUAAUGUAUUUGUAAUUUACCUAACAAAUUGCCUAAUCUGCUAUGUUAAUGUAUUUAUGAAUUAAAAUAAAUAUGACUGCAUGUUUCUGGUUCAUUUUUGUGGAGGUGGCUGUGGUGACAUCAGCCAAGAAUCUGAAUGGUACUGUUGAAGGAAACUAGCAUGAUAGCUUCAGUUCUAAAGGCCCUGAAACCUAGUCUCAGGUGGGUCCCCCUUGGGUUCACUUUAUAUUGGCAGUUUAUUGGGAAAAUGGGUAUUAGGUCCUGACCAAUAGGACCGUAAGUCUGGGUUGAGUGCAAGAUGAGUUAGACCGAUUCUUUAGCUUCCUGCAAUGUAGUGGAGGAAAAAUCGAUGGUAGCAAUGGGAGGUUGUAUCCCUAGCUGAUGAGUUGUAUGAUCCUCUACUACCUGGUGCACCUCCGCCUGAAGAUUGCCAGAAUUGCUUGCCUCAUGACGUGAGUCAUAAUGGAAACUUUGUCAAGCCCCCUGCACUGGCUGCCAACAUAAAUGUUCAGUACCCUGAAGGGGGAUCAUCUAGAAGGUAAAGUGACCUACUGGCAUAGGGGAAGUGGGACAGCCGUUAAGCCAUUUGGAACUUGAUGGGGACAGGUUUGAGAGAGGUGGGUGAGAUUGGAGUUUGGUGGACUGUAGAGCUUGCUUGUCAAGGUGUUGAGGGCAGGGUUGGUUGGAGAAUGGAAGCUAGUUACUAGCUAUGAUUGUGGGGGAACACAGCUUGAUUUUUCUUACAAGCUAAGAGGAGUGAGGCAGUGUUUAAGAGGGCAUCUUAAAUGCAGCCAGACUUGGUGGCUCACGCCCGUAAUCCCACCACUUAGGCUGAGGCAGGCGGGUCACAACAUCUAGAGAUCCUGGCCAACGUGGUGAAACCCUGUCUGUACUAAAAAUACAAAAUAACUGGGCAUGGUGGUGUGCACCUGUAGGAGGCUGAGGCAGAAUUGCUGGAACCCGGGAGAUGGAGGUUGUACUGAGCUGAGACCUUGCCACUGCGCUCCAGCCUGGUGACAAGAGUUAAGUCUCAAAAAAAGGCAUCUUUCUAAAGCAGUUGUAUUUGUGCUUACCUGUGCCAGGCACUGUUCUAGGUAAGCACUAAGUGGGCUUUAAUACAGCAUAUUCCAAUGGGGAAUCCCAGGAACCAAAAGACUAAUUGUCCAAGUCCACAACUAGAAGUGGCACCUCUGCAGAAACAAGCAUCAAAUUCCCUGCUCAGGAAGAAGCCAGAUGAGUCAGUCCCAUUCGUCUGUGUAUGCCCAGUCCCAUCCGUGUCCUGCUGUAACUACAUAGAUCUCACCUGAGUAAAGUGAUUUUUUUCUGAA
rnacentral:sRNA from 1 species